UUGAUGCAAGGUUAAGCAGGAAAUGUGGAGCCGUAGCGAAAGCGAGUCUGAAUAGGGCGUUGAGUAUUUGGUCGUAGACCCGAAACCAGGUGAUCUACCCAUGACCAGGUUGAAGUUCAGGUAACACUGAAUGGAGGACCGAACCGACUUACGUUGAAAAGUGAGCGGAUGAGUUGUGGGUAGCGGAGAAAUUCCAAUCGAACCUGGAGAUAGCUGGUUCUCUCCGAAAUAGCUUUAGGGCUAGCCUCAAGUGAUGAUUAUUGGAGGUAGAGCACUGUUUGGACGAGGGGCCCUUCUCGGGUUACCGAAUUCAGACAAACUCCGAAUGCCAAUC
rnacentral:rRNA from 1 species